GACUUCUACACAUGACCUCACGGGGGUGGGACGACCCGCUAGACUUAAGCAUAUUAAUCAGCGGAGGAAAAGAAACUAACAAGGAUUCCCCUAGUAACUGCGAGUGAAGAGGGAUUAGCUCAAUGUGUGAAUCGGGUUGGGAUUAGCCCCCGUCUCGAGUUGUGCACUAUAGACGCCGGAUCAGCGUUUGAAGGAUCGAGGUGGAUGUCCGAUGAAACUCGGUGCCAUAGAGGGUCAUAGUCCUGUACUUGCCUUGUCAUCCUUUGCGCAUUUGACCGGUGUUCUGCGAGUCGCGUAGUUUUGUAUUGCUGCGCUAAGUGGGAGGUAGAGCCCUUCUAAAGCUAAAUAUGGCGACGUGACCGAUAGCACACAAGUACCGCGAGGGAAAGGUGAAAAGCAACCAUGCAGAAUGGGUUGAAACAGCAGUGAAA
rnacentral:rRNA from 1 species